CGUUGUCCUUAACUUUUACAAAAAUCUUCUACUCUAAAACUACUGGGCCAAAUUUAACCAAACAUGGCCACAAUCAUCAUUGGGGUAUCUAGUUUAAAAAAUGUGUCCGGUAACUUGACCAACUAACCAAGAUGGCUGCCAUGGCUAAAAAUAGAGCAUAGGGGUAAAAUGCAGUUUUUGGCUUAUAACUCAAAAACCAAAGCAUUUAAAGCAAAUCUGACAGGAAGUGAAAUUGUUUAUCAGGCAAAGAUCUAUCUGUCCUGGAAUUUUCAGAUGAAUCGGAUAACCAAUUGUUAGGUUGCUGCCCCUGAAUUGGUAAUUUUAAGGAAAUUUUGCUGUUUUUGGUUAUUACCUUGAAUACUAUAAUAGAUAGAGAUAAACUGUAAACAGCAAUAAUGUACAGCAAAGUAAG
rnacentral:lncRNA from 1 species